ACAACCAUUGACAUAUAACGAAGGGACCGCUGACUCACGUUCGCGCCAAAUUAUCUUCUACUUUUCGCAGCGCCCUCACCGGGAGGCAUACAUCGAACUUCCUGUUAUCGGAAAGAGCAUGGCGAGCAUCAUAGAGAGUGAAGAUCUGCAUGAUUUGAGCGCGGUGUUCGAAGCUGAGGAUUUUGAUGCCGAAGGUCCACCUGAACAGCUAUCUGUUGUUAAUACAAAUCAAUCAGAGGAGAGCGUUACUGAGGCAUUGAUUGAGGGUGUCAUUUAUGACCUAAAAUGUGACGAGUUGUUGCCAGAGCACAUUAAACAAAUGCUCGUGUCCGUGCAUGGGGAAUUCACUCACCUGAACUGGUGAACAGUGGGGUUAUCAUGUCGAGCCCCCAGUCCCCUGUGUCUCCCGAAAUGUUCCUCAAGAGGGUCUUGACAAAACACCUGGCUCAAGAUGUAUGGCACACCUUGCCUCAAAAGAUAUUUUGUACUUUCGACAAAGGCAUUGACUGCAAGGUAAAAAUUUAUUUAUGAAUUUUGCUUGGUUAUAAAAUAUUCACACCAGGAGAUUCAUUUCUCCUUAGAAUAUAUAGUAUAUACAAAUAUGUAUGUAUUAUUGUUUUGAUGUAAGAAUAAUCCACUAAUUUAUUAUCUGUAAAUUGACUUACCUGUCAUGAUGAUUCCUUCAAUUGUCUGAUGUGAAAGGACCAUCUUGUUUCUCUCCUGCUUCGUAAAUCCUGGCCUUGCUGUGACUGAGGCCUGCCAGUUACUGAAAUAGUCCAGGAAUUCGCCUCUCAAAAACUAGAAGAAAUAACAAAAUUAUGCCUGCUUGUAUGGAGCAAGGUCAGGUUUCCGUGUACGUAUGGCCUCAUGUAGUGACCGCCCAUUCAAACAAUCAAAAAACCUGUCCACCAGUUGGAAGAAUUUAGAGGUCUCUGCCAUCUCUGGGCCAUAAUAGGCAGACAUUAUUCUACCAACAGACCUGCUUAACACCUAGAGCUGCUGCUAGAGCAUGUUGGGAAAUGUGUACCUGUGCUGCCAGACGGACAUUCAUGGUCGAUGAAGGAGUGAGAUAAACAUGGUCAUACUUAAGCUUGGUCCUGUACAACUGUCCUUGCAUGUCAUCGUUAUAAACUGUCUCAACAUGCGACCAUAAAAUGUUUGAGUUGGUAUUCUAAAAUAGUUUGUAUUAGAAGAAUGAAUAACCAUAGGAAGGUGAUAGUUGCAUAAUUGUGAAUUUUUUAUUAUUGGACUGUACACAUUUAUUUCAAUUGCUCACCCACAGAUAUUUGGUGCCACCUGGACGAGACUUGUGGACAUUGUUUCUUAUGGUUUUAAUGAGGUGUGGAACAUCAGAAAAGAAAUAGAUAUUUCUUUUUUCUUCGGAAAAAGGAUUGUCAGCAAAGAACACCACAUCUUCAUUCCCUGUUCUGUGCAGCCUGUAAAGCCUCUGAUUCGGAGACGCUUUGUCGCUGGUGGAUGAGAUCACCUAAAUAAAUUGAACCUUCAAUCCACAAGUUAUCUCGAGGUAGGCCACAGCUUUCCAAAGAAGGGGGAACAACUCAUCAGCAGUUGAAGAUCUUGUCGGGAAAUGCCCAAUGCUCAUUUUGAUGUUGGAAUUAAUCCCAAUCACCAUGAAAACCAAGACAUGGGUGGCAAUUCGUUUUGUUUCAUCCUACAUAUAAGGUUUUUUGGAAAUGGAAUUAAGCAGUUAAAGUGAAAAUAAGAAGAUCAAAGAAGGAUAUGAACAGAGGAAAAGUUAUACAUGCCAUCAUGAUUUUAUUAACAUUAUGUUUCAAAACUUUUUAAGUGUAUAAACCUCAUCAAAUGUCCAGGUCUCUGGGUUGGUGAACCCUAUAACUUGCUCACUUCUCCUGUCAUAUACAAGAUCCGACUUGACCUUCAUUUCAUCAUGUAGGAGACACACAUACUUCUUCUCUGAUGGCAAGUCCUUGGCAACUUUUUUUAAUUCCUUUAUCCAAAUAGUUUAUUGAAAGAUCAAUCUAAAUUACACUGAACAUCUUUUCUAGGCCAUUUAGAAAUAUUUAUUUUACUAAAACAAAAACAUUUUAUGUAAGCCAGUACAUCAUAUUAAUCUGAGAAUGAUAUUCACCUGAAAAGCCUCAGCCUGAAAACCAGAUUUAGGCUGGAUGAAAUUAGUGUAGUCACGAAGAGUAGCUUGAUUUGGUAGUCGAAGGACUCCACUUUCUCUCAAUGACUCAUAUGCUCUGGGACUUUGGCAACGGAGAUAAAUGGCAAAACGGAUCAUCAUCGGAUGCCAUCUCAUUCCUAAUAAUGAUUAACGAAAAGGUCCAUGAGAGCGUUGCCAGAUUUACAACUUUGAAGAGUUGCAAAAAGGCCCUCUCCAACAUCAUCAGCAACGGAAGCUGUCUCACCUUUAAAACAUUAUUUUACCUCUACUCAAAGAUUCUACAAGACUCUGAAGCUUUCUGUUCUCUUCUCGGAUGACUUUGAAAUGUUUGAUGAGAGUUGUAUGUGGGACAUGUUUCAAAGGGGUUUUAGGAUGAAGCAUAUUGGGAGAAGCAUUUUCCUGUGCAUUCAGUGAGGAUUCAAGCUUAGAACAAGGACCACAUAAUGCGUUGCCCUGAACUCCUCCUAAGCAACCAUUGGCACGAAUCACACUUUUGUUGGAUGGUUUUCCAUUAAUGACGUGGGUGGAAAAAAAGCGGUAUCCCUGCGAACUUUUGAUAGUGACAUCUGGGCUGUCUUUAAUCCCAGCGCAUUUAGUUAUUUUGUCUACAGCCUCCAAAAAUAUGUUGACAUGCAUUUUCUCCACUGAGUUCUCGAAUCCUUGGACCACCACCUCUGUUUUUGGAAAAAAUUGUUAACUUGAAACCAGUCCUUGGCUGCGUUUAACUAAAGGAUUGCAACUUAUGGCCACAUUAAUGAAUGCUUAUUAAUCAGGAACUAAUAAUUUUUUUACAAAGUAUGAUUUUUAUGGAAAUCAAAAUAAUUGUAAAUAUAAGGCCAUCCUUAAAAAAAUGUUUGUUUGGAAUUGCCACCUGGAAGUUUCUAGAUAGAAGAAUGGAGGAAUAGAAAAAUAGAUUAAUUUUCUAAAUCUAAAGUUUAACUAAUUAAAAAUCGAUAAAAAAAUAAAAAUCUCCAUAUACAUGUAUUAAAAAAAAA